CCUAACACAUGCAAGUCGAACGGUAACAGGAAGAAGCUUGCUUCUUUGCUGACGAGUGGCGGACGGGUGAGUAAUGUCUGGGAAACUGCCUGAUGGAGGGGGAUAACUACUGGAAACGGUAGCUAAUACCGCAUAACGUCGCAAAACCAAAGAGGGGGACCUUCGGGCCUCUUGCCAUCGGAUGUGCCCAGAUGGGAUUAGCUAGUAGGUGGGGUAACGGCUCACCUAGGCGACGAUCCCUAGCUGGUCUGAGAGGAUGACCAGCCACACUGGAACUGAGACACGGUCCAGACUCCUACGGGAGGCAGCAGUGGGGAAUAUUGCACAAUGGGCGCAAGCCUGAUGCAGCCAUGCCGCGUGUAUGAAG
rnacentral:rRNA from 1 species